rnacentral:rRNA from 1 species
UAAUACAGAGGUCUCAAGCGUUGUUCGGAUUCAUUGGGCGUAAAGGGUGCGUAGGUGGCGGGGUAAGUCAGGUGUGAAAUUUCGGAGCUUAACUCCGAAACUGCAUUUGAUACUGCCUUGCUUGAGGACUGGAGAGGAGACUGGAAUUCACGGUGUAGCAGUGAAAUGCGUAGAGAUCGUGAGGAAGACCAGUGGCGAAGGCGGGUCUCUGGACAGUUCCUGACACUGAGGCACGAAGGCCAGGGGAGCAAACGGGAUUAGAUACCCCGGUAGUCCUGGCAGUAAACGGUGCACGUUUGGUGUGGGGGGAUUCGACCCCUUCCGCGCCGGAGCUAACGCGUUAAACGUGCCGCCUGGGGAGUACGGUCGCAAGAUUA